UCAACUUAAUGUGACAGUCCCCUGAGGGGAAUAAUACUACUGUUGGUUAGACCUAGGAAGCUGCACUGCUUCUUGUCGGCCUUGACACGUUUCCUGUGUCCUUAUGUUUACAAGGGGAAGACAAAAAAAUCUGGAUGCAGGCAUAGCUGGGUGGAGGUGCUUGUCUCCCCCUCGUAAACAUAAGGACACAGGAAAUGUGUCAAGGCCGACAAGAAGCAGUGCAGCUUCCUAGGUCUAACCAACAGUAGUAUUAUUCCCUU
rnacentral:SRP_RNA from 1 species